UGGGGAAUAUUGGACAAUGGGCGAAAGCCUGAUCCAGCAAUUCCGCGUGUGUGAAGAAGGCCUUCGGGUUGUAAAGCACUUUAGUGGGGGAAGAAACAGCUUGGCCACACCAAGCCUUGACGGUACCCCAAGAAUAAGCACCGGCUAACUCUGUGCCAGCAGCCGCGGUAAUACAGAGGGUGCAAGCGUUAAUCGGAUUUACUGGGCGUAAAGGGUGCGUAGGUGGUUUUUUAAGUCGGAUGUGAAAGCCUGGGGCUCAACCUCAGAAUUGCAUUCGAUACUGGGAAACUAGAGUUCGGUAGAGGGCAGCGGAAUUUCCGGUGUAGCGGUGAAAUGCGUAGAUAUCGGAAGGAACAUCAAUGGCGAAGGCAGCCGCCUGGGCCUGGACUGACACUGAGGCACGAAAGCGUGGGUAGCAAACA
rnacentral:rRNA from 1 species